UACGUAGGGGGCAAGCGUUGUCCGGAAUCAUUGGGCGUAAAGAGCGUGUAGGCGGCUCGGUAAGUCCGCUGUGAAAGUCCAGGGCUCAACCCUGGAAUGCCGGUGGAAACUGUCGAGCUAGAGUCCGGAAGAGGCGAGUGGAAUUCCUGGUGUAGCGGUGAAAUGCGCAGAUAUCAGGAGGAACACCAAUGGCGAAGGCAGCUCGCUGGGACGAUACUGACGCUGAGGCGCGAAAGCGUGGGGAGCAAACAGG
rnacentral:rRNA from 1 species